rnacentral:tRNA from 1 species
ACUUGGCUGGCUCAGUCAGUGGAGCGUGGGACUUCUGAUCUCGGGGUUGUGGGUUCAAGUCCCAUACUGGGUG